rnacentral:rRNA from 1 species
UACAGAGGGGGCAAGCGUUUGUUCGGAAUUACUGGGCGUAAAGGGCGCGUAGGCGGCCUUCUAAGUCGAACGUGAAAUCCCCGGGCUCAACCCGGGAACUGCGUCCGAUACUGGAAGGCUUGAAUCCGGGAGAGGGAUGCGGAAUUCCUGGUGUAGCGGUGAAAUGCGCAGAUAUCAGGAAGAACGACCCGUGGCGUAAGGCGGCUCUCUAGUACGGUACUGACGCUGAAGACGGCGAAAGCGUGGGGAGCGAACAGG